AAGCAUAUCAAUAAGCGGAGGAAAAGAAACUAACAAGGAUUCCCCUAGUAACGGCGAGUGAAGCGGGAAAAGCUCAAAUUUGAAAUCUGACGGUCUUUGGUCGUCCGAGUUGUAGUCUGGAGAAGUGCUUUCUGUGCUGGACCGUGUACAAGUCUCUUGGAACAGAGCGUCAUAGAGGGUGAGAAUCCCGUCUUUGACACGGACUACCAGUGCUAUAUGAUGCGCUCUCAAAGAGUCGAGUUGUUUGGGAAUGCAGCUCAAAAUGGGUGGUAAAUUCCAUCUAAAGCUAAAUACAGGCGAGAGACCGAUAGCGAACAAGUACCGUGAGGGAAAGAUGAAAAGCACUUUGGAAAGAGAGUAAAACAGUACGUGAAAUUGUUGAAAGGGAAACGCUUGAAGUCAGUCGUGUCUACUGGGACUCAGCCUGGCUUUUGCCUGGUGCACUUCCCUGUUGACAGGCCAACAUCAAUUUUGAUCGGCAGACAAAGGCUGAGGAAAUGUGGCAGCUCCGGCUGUGUUUAUAGUCCUUGGUUGUACAUGUCGAUUGGGAUUGAGGAAUCCGGACACGCAAGUGUUGUGGGAUGUUGGCGUAAUGGCUUUAAACGACCCGUCUUGAAACACGGACCAAGGAGUGUAACAUGCUCGCGAGUGUUUGGGUGGUAAACCCGAGCGCGUAAUGAAAGUGAAAGUUGAGAUCUUCUUCUGAAGAGCAUCGACGCCCGAGCCUGAUGUUUUCGGACGGCCUCGCGGUAGAGCGAGUAUGUUGCGACCCGAAAGAUGGUGAACUAUUCCUGAGGAGGGCGAAGCCAGAGGAAACUCUGGUGGAGGCUCGUAGCGUUUCUGACGUGCAAAUCGAUCGCAGGACUUGGGUAUAGGGGCGAAAGACUAAUCGA
rnacentral:rRNA from 1 species